UUCUCGCGCAUGCGUUCGCCGAACGGUCUUCUUCCGACAGCUUGCUGCCCUAGACCAGAGUUGGUGGCUGGACCUCCUGCGACUUCCGAGUUGCGAUGCUGUACUUCUCUUUGUUCUGGGCGGCUCGGCCUCUGCAGAGAUGUGGGCAGCUGGUCAGGAUGGCCAUUCGGGCUCAGCACAGCAACGCAGCCCAGACUCAGACUGGGGAAGCAAACAGGGGCUGGACAGGCCAGGAGAGCCUGUCGGACAGUGAUCCUGAGAUGUGGGAGUUGCUACAGAGGGAGAAGGACAGGCAGUGUCGUGGCCUGGAGCUCAUUGCCUCAGAGAACUUCUGCAGCCGAGCUGCGCUGGAGGCCCUGGGGUCCUGUCUGAACAACAAGUACUCGGAGGGUUAUCCUGGCAAGAGAUACUAUGGGGGAGCAGAGGUGGUGGAUGAAAUUGAGCUGCUGUGCCAGCGCCGGGCCUUGGAAGCCUUUGACCUGGAUCCUGCACAGUGGGGAGUCAAUGUCCAGCCCUACUCCGGGUCCCCAGCCAACCUGGCCGUCUAUACAGCCCUUCUGCAACCUCACGACCGGAUCAUGGGGCUGGACCUGCCCGAUGGGGGCCAUCUCACCCACGGCUACAUGUCUGACGUCAAGCGGAUAUCAGCCACGUCCAUCUUCUUCGAGUCUAUGCCCUAUAAGCUCAACGGCUUUAGCUGUUUGUGUGUCUGUCCAGCCCAAAACUGGCCUCAUUGACUAUGACCAGCUGGCACUGACUGCUCGACUUUUCCGACCGCGGCUCAUCAUAGCUGGCACCAGCGCCUAUGCUCGCCUCAUUGACUACAACCGCAUGAGA
rnacentral:sRNA from 1 species